rnacentral:rRNA from 1 species
GAUCAUGGCUAAGGAUGAACGCUGGCGGCGUGCCUAAUACAUGCAAGUAGAACGCUGAAGGAAGGAGCUUGCUCUUUCCGGAUGAGUUGCGAACGGGUGAGUAACGCGUAGGUAACCUGCCUGGUAGCGGGGGGUAACUAUUGGAAACGAUAGCUAAUACCGCAUAACAGUAGAUGUUGCAUGACAUUUACUUGAAAGGUGCAAUUGCACCACUACCAGAUGGACCUGCGUUGUA